rnacentral:rRNA from 1 species
GUGGGGAAUCUUCCGCAAUGGACGAAAGUCUGACGGAGCAACGCCGCGUGAGUGAUGAAGGUCUUCGGAUUGUAAAGCUCUGUUAAUCGGGACGAAAGAGCCUAGUGUGAAUAAUGCUAGGAAGUGACGGUACCGGAAUAGAAAGCCACGGCUAACUACGUGCCAGCAGCCGCGGUAAUACGUAGGUGGCAAGCGUUGUCCGGAAUUAUUGGACGUAAAGCGCGCGCAGGCGGAUCUGCCAGUCUGUCUUAAAAGUUCGGGGCUUAACCCCGUGAUGGGAUGGAAACUACAGAUCUAGAGUAUCGGAGAGGAAAGUGGAAUUCCUAGUGUAGCGGUGAAAUGCGUAGAUAUUAGGAAGAACACCAGUGGCGAAGGCGACUUUCUGGACGAAAACUGACGCUGAGGCGCGAAAGCCAGGGGAGCGAACGGGAUUAGAUACCCCUGUAGUCC